rnacentral:rRNA from 1 species
GAGCGAGACCUUCGGGUCUAGCGGCGGACGGGUGAGUAACGCGUGGGAACGUGCCCUUCUCUACGGAAUAGCCCCGGGAAACUGGGAGUAAUACCGUAUACGCCCUUUGGGGGAAAGAUUUAUCGGAGAAGGAUCGGCCCGCGUUGGAUUAGGUAGUUGGUGAGGUAACGGCUCACCAAGCCGACGAUCCAUAGCUGGUUUGAGAGGAUGAUCAGCCACACUGGGACUGAGACACGGCCCAGACUCCUACGGGAGGCAGCAGUGGGGAAUCUUAGACAAUGGGGGCAACCCUGAUCUAGCCAUGCCGCGUGAGUGAUGAAGGCCUUAGGGUUGUAAAGCUCUUUCAGCUGGGAAGAUAAUGACGGUACCAGCAGAAGAAGCCCCGGCUAACUCCGUGCCAGCAGCCGCGGUAAUACGGAGGGGGCUAGCGUUGUUCGGAAUUACUGGGCGUAAAGCGCACGUAGGCGGACUGGAAAGUCAGAGGUGAAAUCCCAGGGCUCAACCUUGGAACUGCCUUUGAAACUAUCAGU